rnacentral:rRNA from 2 species
UUAACGGCGAGUGAAGCGGCAACAGCUCAGAUUUGGAAUCUGGCCCCCCCCGGGGGCCCGAGUUGUAAUCUGGAGAGGAUGCUUCUGGCGCGGCGCCCGGCGAGUUCCCUGGUAACGGGACGCCGGAGAGGGUGAGAGCCCCGUACUCCGGGCCGCCUAGCCUCUGCGAAGCUCCUUCGACGAGUCGAGUAGUUUGGGAAUGCUGCUCUAAACGGGAGGUAAAUUUCUUCUAAAGCUAAAUACCGGCCAGAGACCGAUAGCGCACAAGUAGAGUGAUCGAAAGAUGAAAAGCACUUUGAAAAGAGGGUCAAACAGUACGUGAAAUUGUUGAAAGGGAAGCGCCCGUGGCCAGAUUUGCGCCCCGCGGCUCACCCCGGCGGACCCCCGCCGGGGCACGCCGCGGGGCGCAGGCCAGCAUCGGUUUCCCCAGGGGGACAAGGACGGCGGGAAUCGUGGCUCCUACCGGGAGUGUUAUAGCCCGCCGCACCAUGACUCCUCUG